rnacentral:rRNA from 1 species
CCUACGGGAGGCAGCAGUGGGGAAUAUUGGACAAUGGGGGGAACCCUGAACCAGCGACGCCGCGUGGGGGAAGAAGUUUUUAGGUAUGUAAAGCCCUAUUAGCAGGGAAGAAAAUGACGGUACCUGACUAAUAAGCCCCGGCUAACUACGUGCCAGCAGCCGCGGUAAUACGGAGGGGGCAAGCGUUACCCGGAUUUACUGGGUGUAAAGGGUGCGUAGACGGGGCAGCAAGUCUGAUGUGAAAGGUGGGGGCUCAACCCCGGGACUGCAUUUGAAACUGUUGAACUAGAGUGUAGGAGAGGUAAGCGGAAUUCCUAGUGUAGCGGUAAAAUGCGUAGAUAUUAAGAGGAACACCAAUGGCGAAGGCGGCUUACUGGAAUAUUACUGACGUUGAGGCUCGAAAGCGUGGGGAGCAAACAGGAUUAGAUACCCGAGUAGUC